rnacentral:lncRNA from 1 species
CAGUGCCCUGAAUCUCAAGUCCAGAAAUCCACUAGAGGACCUGUUACGGUGGAGAGAAGAUCAGUCUCCAUUAAGGUUGGCGAUUGAUCAGGACUAUUUAUCAAGAAAAUCAAAGACAAAGACAGAUCCUAGGAGGUUCUCAUUUAACCAAAUGGAUAGAAAUCAGAUCACUGUUGAACAUCUAGUUGGAACUGACUUUGCCGCUCUACUCAAAUGGUGAAGGCUUCCUUCUUCCAACAGACUGUGUGGCAGCAUGAAUUAUGGGCAGGGAUCUGUGACUGCUCAACUUUUCUCUGGAGGCCCUGCUCAGGGGUUCAGCUGUCCUGUUCCUCAGUGUCACAUCUUCCACAAAGCCAUUCACCCUUUAAGGAUUCACUGAGCACUCAUCCUGUGUCAGGUGCUGAGCUGAGCACCUGGGAUUUGGAGGACAGGAAGACACAGUCCCACAAUCAGAAGAGAAGCCUUUCCCUAGCCUUCUCUCAGAGCACUCCCCCAGAAUCCCUUAGCCUAUGAUCUGCAUCUCCUGGGCACCUUUCCUUUCCACCUUCUUUUACCUUUGUCUUCUACUUCCAGUCCUCUUACCACCAGGCCAUCUGUCCCUUGAGGGCUGCCUCAGAAUCUCCCACAGCAUGUAACAGAAUGAGUGGCACACAGCAGAAGCUCAAUAAAUAUUUAUGGAAUGACUGG